UCACGUGAGCACACACUUUAUGUAAUGUUGCCGCACAUGUUCUGUCAGGGGCUCUUUGUGCUUCUUCUUCUUCCCACUUUGUCUCCGCCGGAGUCCGGAUCCGCUCCGUGCCAAGCGGGGUCUGCCCGCCCAUCCAUAAGGAUCUAACCCCGUCAGAAGAGGAGCUCCGUGACAUCUCUUCUCCCCACCUAUAGGACUCUGAUCAGCUGCUCGCUGUCACUGAUGCCGGGGCAAGGACUCCCCUCAUCAGCUGCUGUGCGGAGGAGGUUAUAGACUUUGUAUAAUAUGAGCCUCUGAUUACCCGCCCUGUGCUGUUUUAUGCUCUCGGCUUUAUUGUUCUUGGGUGGAGAGUUACCCUCCUGUGACCCAUGGAUGUCUUUAACUGCCUCUCCUGCCAGCAGGCCCUCUGGGACCCUGUAACUGUAAGAUGCGGCCAGUCUUUCUGCAAAAGGUGCUUGCGGGGGCCAGCAGUGGACAGGUGCCACGUUUGCAAGCAGAAGCUGAAGCCCAGGGGUGCCCAGGAGCUGAAAUGUAACACCCUUUUAUGCAACUUGCUGGAGAAGUGCCUGCAGAGCGAAACCAGACUGAACAGGGUGAGAAGCGACCUGCGCGAUCUGCUCUCACUCCAGGACCACGAAGAGGCAGCAAAAGUGGCCUCCAGAGGAGUUGCGAUGGCUGCUUGAAGAUCUUGGUUUUCCGGUGCCUUCAUCUCCUGAAGAGCUGUUAGACGAGGUCUCUCAUUACUUGAAGUCGUCCAGUCCAGACGCCGCUACCCUCAUAGCUCCUCUAAAAGCUGCAUCCAUUGAUUCAUGUGACACAAUAGCGAAUGUGAAGAGAUAAAGCACCCUCCUUUGUAGAUCACUUCAGAGGACAAACCUUUCCAGGCCCAAAAAUCCGUGAGAGGCCCAAAAAUCAGAGAAGGAGGAAAGAAGAAAAAAGACAAGCAUUAGAAGAACAAAAGUGAUACAAUGUUGCUGGAACAUGCAUUUAACAAACCUCCAUUAUACUUAUUAAUGCUCUUCUGCAUGUGUGUUUGUAAAUGGUCUGCAAUGUAUAUACUGAUCUUUACUUAAAGGUCAUGGGUUUUCAGAAUAAAACCUUAAACAAA